UGCCACCAGGCCGGCCCCAAGAAUUUUUAACAUAUGCUGCAGAUGAUUCUAAUGCAGUGGGCACAUUAGACACUGCAUUCAAGAAACCACAAGACAAGUUUUCAAGUUGUGUUCCAUAUAUCACUCACAUUUCUGAACUGGAUAGGAUUAAUUUCACACAUUCUACAACCUGUGUUAGCAUUUGAAAGGGCUCAAAUUCUGAUCCAAAUGAGACAUAAGACAAAAGACUAAGGUAAGCAGGAGAUAAUAUCAUCUUUAUUACAUAUAAAGCUGAGAUUGGAGGACGUGGCUUAUAUCUGUGGACAAGUGAUCUUCAUAAUGUUAAAUUAGAGAAUUAAGCAGACUCAUAUACCCAGUCACACUGGGCAGGUCUUUUACCUGGUGGAAAAGAGCCUGUGCUGUCUUCAGGCAGCUUCAGCUCCAUGAGUAAGAGAAAAGAGCCACUCAAUAUAUUCUUCUUGAACAUAUCAAAGAGAAUUCAUUCCUUCUCCCAUAAGGAGCAGCGGGUGAGGGGCUGUAGAAAGGCCAAGAGUGUUAUCCUAGUGGAGCUUAUUCCACAUGGAAAGAAACAUCUUGCUUAGGGAAGGAGUAACCUCUUAACAAUAUAGGAUGAUAUGAUAAAAAACUAUGGUGUUAUUCAAAGAAGCUGCACCCUUAGAGCCAAUUUUAUCAUUCAAAGGCAAUAAUUUUUCAAAUGGAUGCUUUAAUUUUUAAUUCCAUUUUCCUCCAUAUGUUAUUAAAAUUGAGUUCACACUUUUUAUCUGUGGUGGAUUAAAGAAAUAACGGUCCUCAAUUUUUCACUUGUUCUUGUAUCCACCCCCUCACGUGGUCACCACCCACUCUUACUUUGGGCUUACCUACAAAUUUUUUGGCCAAUGGAAUUUGAAAAUGAGACCAAGUCUAUUUUUAUACCGAGUCUUGGAAUGCUUGCCAGUGCCACCAUAGGAAUAGGCCUCGGCUAGACUGUUGGAUGAUCAUAAUCAGAUAGCCAAGAUACUCCCGUUGCUCCAGCUGACACAUUGCAACAGAACCACCAGACAUGUGAGUGAGGUCAUCUGACACCAGCCAGCCACAGAUGACCUGCCAAAUAACUGCAGACGCAUGAGCAAACACAGAUGAGAUCAGGAGUCUGGCCUGAACCAGAAAAAGACCCACCCAGCAGUAUUGUCAACUAAUAAAAUGGCUAAGCCACUAAGUUUUGGGGUGGCUCUGCAGCAAAUGCUAUAUGACACUCUAUGUAGCAUGAAGUAUAUAACUACAUGAUAUGCUAUAAUUUUCCUUUUAUAUUUUGUGUGGAACUUCUGAAAUUCCCUAAUGCUGAAAAUUUAAAUACUGUUUCAUGAACCUUAAGAGAGAAAAGUAGAUAAAAUUUAAAACUCAAUCCUUUUAAAUCAGUAGGGUUUGUUUUUGGUAUUGACUUCCCAACACUCAUACCCAAACUAUCUGAAACAUUCUCUGGUUGCAAACAAACUUGACAUGAGACCUCAGUGUGACUAGGUUAAUGGUCGUGCAGUCAGUUUGUAUAGUAACUACAUUUAAAUAUUAGCAUCUUCAUUACUUUAGGCAUUUUUGUUUUCAGGACCAUGCCCUUGGACAAUACUGAGAAAUACACUGAGUCCCAGUAUGCUGCUAAGAAGAAACUGAGGAUGUCAUUCUUCCCUGAGCGAUGGUUAAAGGGGUUUAUUAGCAGCUUUGAUAGUUGCAAACAUGUUUUGAUCAAGUGCUGGUUUGGACUGUGUAUCAGUGGGAACUGUUUAAAUGUUCAAAUACAACAAAUUUAAUUGCUCACAUGAGUUUGCCUUUGAAAUAAGUAAACGUGAUUCGUCUCCUCUUGGAUUUAGUACAACUUUGCCUGUAAAUAAUAGGAUUUAUUUAAUGUCCCCAUGAAAGGGGCCAUCAAAAUGGAACAGUCAUCUGCAACAGAUCUGUAGGGAGUGAGUUCAGAUAUCGUCAGGAAGAAUUACCUACUGUCUACCAAUUCAUAGGCAGUUGGAGACCCAAACCGCGUCCUUCUCCCCUCUUACCCCAAGUUCGGUGACUUCCCAAACAUGGUGCUGGGGCACCAAGAAUUCACCACCAUUGUCCUCCUCUUCUUGCUGCUUCUCUCCAGUCUAUCCAUGCUACGUUGGAGAUCGCUGGAUGAAUGCCAUAAAGCUUGACUAAUGCAUACCCUUGGUUGCAAUCAAAGUUAUUUUAAGAAGAUUUGCUAUGUGGAAAAACAUCCAGAGGGAUAAGCUUGAAGCAUUUGAAAUCUCUCACAUAGCUUUAAGUUGUAACCCACCUCAUAAAAAAAUCUCUAAAGCUAAAGGGAAAUACUUUUGCCAAAAUCGGUCUUAUGAAAUAACGCAUUUUGGUACAUGCUGAGGAAUCACCAAUAAGACCUGCAACAACAAACCCCUUCAACAGCUGCUCCUAUUUAAAGCCAUUAGUUUUUGUGCUGGCGUGAGUGUAAUUCACUCUAAAGUUCUUCUUAUAGCUGAAAAUUAAGGGCAGUGGCAUCUAUUUUGUUUACUAUGUGACAGCGCGAUUGUCAUUAAAGGAAUAUGUUCGUUUCUUUUACAUUUACAUUCCUAUGAGCAAAGCAAACUCAAACCAGAAGAUGCUUAUUAUGCACAAAUGUCAGCAUACAUGCUCACACCAGGAAAUGAAACCAGGAUCUUUUGCAACCAUUACAAAAUGCUCAUUACGACUAUGGUACCCUCUUAUGUGAAAUACUGGCUUGAGGAGUGAUAGAGGUUUGACCUGUGUUCUUUGUGGAAGGAGCGGUUCUGAAUAUUGGAGAUUUGUCCUCCCUGCCUACCUUCUGAGAGAAGUAAGUCAUCUAGUUUGUAACUAGAAAAAUUAGGCAUCCUUAGUUCUAUUUAUCGUUGUUUUAAAUUGCUGCAAGACCUUUAAAAUAAGAAUGCAGCGGUUACCUCUGCGAUAGCGGUGAGGAGUGGGCAGGAGGGCAGGCCACUGCAGAAGUGGACGAGAGCGCUUUCUGCAGUGAAGGAAAAUUUUCUGUAUCCUGAUUGGAGUGGUUACAUGGGUGUGUGCGUUUGUUAAAACUCAUCGAACUGUACACUUCAAAUCUGUACAUUGUUCUUUAAAAAGAGAAAAAAAAAUAAGGAUGAGAGGCAAAUCAAGUAGGGCCUUAUAUGCUGUGGUGAAGGAUUUGGAUUUUAUUGUGAGAUGCGAAUUUAUUGGAGGUUUUCUAGGGAGGGAGUGACGUGAUCUCACUUACGUUUUAAGAAGCAGACUCCAUCUGUGAUGUGGUCCAUUUAUUGCAGCAGAGCGAAACAGAGACCAUCCAGGGCGCUAUUGAAAUAGUCGAGGAAUGCCCCAGUGUUGGCUUGGCAGAGGUGGUCACAUAGAGCUGGUGAGAAGUGGUGGCACUGGCACAUAGCACAAACCCUGGACCUUGUGCUAUGCUGCCCAGCAAGCCCCUGGCCCUCACGGGAAGGAUUUAUACCCCAGCUGCUGGGAGGUUUGGUUGCCAGUUCUCAGCUGUCAAUCAUCUUUAGGAAUUGUAUCUUCUGAUGAGAGCCACCUGCUCCUUUUCUGGGGCAGCCCAAACACAAUGACAGGUUGAUGCAGGAGCAUAAUGGCCUGUCUCUCUGGACUCUAUGCAGGACAACCCUGAAGCGCCAUCCCAGCCUUAGAGAUCUGUGCAGGGUUGGCUCAGGCCUUGUGACUGGACCGCAGCUUCUCUCUCCUCAGAUCCUACUUCUGUCACUUUGCCCUCACAGCCGUUGCCCCUAAAAACACUCCCUAAUAAAUGCUAAUCUCUCAGAAUCUGCUUCCUGAAGAACUCAGUCUGUGAUGAUUUCCAGUAGAAGAGGAUUUCUUUUUUAUCUGACUAAAAUCAAAAGGUGUAUUUCAGGAACCUCAUCUUCUCAUCUAGCGACGUGGUGGGUGGUGAUGGUCUGGAAAUAUCAGACAAAGAGCAGUCUCUCCCAGCCACUGCUCCUUAACUGGCCCUGGGACAUCACACAAUCACCUCUGGUUCUCAGUUCCAUCUUCUAUAAAAUAAAGAGGAGUUUAAUCAAAUGAGAUAUGCCAGAAGAAAAAUUUUACAACUUUAUGGUAAAAUUCAUUAGAAAUAUUAAAAGGAACUGAAAACCAGCUUAUCGUUUUGUUAAUAGUACUAAGGUCUUGUCUUCCCUUGAUCCAUCCCUUGUUAUUCACCGUUUUUCAAUGUUCACGUAUGUCUCUAAAAGGGACACAUGAGACAUGAAAGAAGAUCAGAUGAAACCUAGCCAAUUCUGCAAAUUGUCUGUAAAGCUGAUAAGACUUCAUUGGAGAAGAUUGUUAUGAUUAAUUACUAAACUCAAUUUCUUGGGGGUUUUUUUUUUGAGUAUUCAGUCCCUGCCCAAGUGAUUUUAAGUGCCUCUAAGUCACUGCCAGACUUGAUUCAGUUCUUCUCAGACUUGAUCUUCUCCCAUGCUAUUUGUUUACGACAAGCCUGUUUCAGCCUCACACGUUCGCUCUGCCUGAAACAUUCUCAACUCUUAGCACAGUUAACUCCCACUCAUCUUCUGGAUCUCAGCUGAAAAGUUACAUCUUCAAGGAAUUUUUUCUACCCUCUAGCAAUGCCUGGUGAUUUCUACCUGCUUGGAACAUUCCACGGGUUUAUCCCAUGCUGAGGAGACUUUUAGGAACUGCAUGAACUCCACAGGGCAUUGAUGCGUAACUGAACCCUGGACGGGCCAAUCAAGACUCACAAGGAGUGGGUUUCAGGAAACCAAGAUGAUGUGUCCUCAGCCACCUGAAAAAAUACGCAGAAACUCAGGUUACAUCUGGAAUUCAUUCCGUGUUUUCUCUGUCCGUUCCUGAUCAGUUUUCUCACCGCCGUCUCCAAGAAAAUUAGGCGAUCUGGAAAUAGGUGUGCAGUGAACUGGGACAUUUUUGGAAAUCAAGGAAAAGCAGCAAUAGGGGAAGAGAUGGCAUCUUUGUUCUUGAUGGUCUUGCUCUGUAUGCUAUAGACCGAUGCUGCCUGAGAGAACAAGUGACCGAGAGGAGCAGAUGACUACCAGGUAUCAGGUGCUUUGGGUUGACUAUGAAGGGCUGAAACAGAAACCCAACAUACACCCAUCCAAAUUUCAAAGCAGGAGAGGAAGGACAACAUGCAUACACACACACACACACACAUAUACCUAAGACAUAACAAAACAUGAAUCAUUCGUCUAGCUUGAUUGCCUAGAACACAGUAUAGACUUUAUACUCUCCAGCUUGAACAAAUAAUCGCUCUACUCUCACCUCACUUGGUUUAGGUCCAGAGACAUUUUCCCCAAAAUGAAGCCAAAAAAAGUGAAUGGGAGAACGGAUGGAUUUGUUGGGAAAAUUUGAGCUUAUAAAUACCACUACCAUCCCCAAAUUUUUAGUAAAAUUCACACAACACUUCAAGUAAACAAAAUUUAUGAUUGAAUUGUCUCAAGGAUCAAAUGUCUCAAAUAGUUGUUAAGCUGUUUGCAUCAUUUGGAAUAAAUACAUUGACAUAAAGGCUAUGCCUCUGGGUUGCCAAAUAUCUGCUGAAAAUUGAAAGAAUGUCGUCAGCCACAAGAAUGUUUUGUCUUCAUGAUAGUAAUUUGGUUUGAAGCUAUCCACUUAGGAUCCAGACUUGGUCCACAUUCACUGGAAUGCACAGUACCAUUAGUUCUCCAGAUUAUGGAGAAAAUGAACUUCCUUUGUGGGAACUCGGGAUGGAGGGGGAUGCUGUAGAGCUCAUUAAAAGCCAUUUAACACUAAGCUAAAUGUCAGCAUACUUCGAAAGAGGCCUAUUAGUAAUGUAUACAAGAAGUUAUCAGCACUUGUGAUAAGCUAAAGAAACCAAACAGUGCAACCCAUUAGAUGGUACUUAUAAGACAGUUGAGUUUUAAGAAAUGUUUUAGAUAAAUUAGAUUGGGACUGACAGAAAAGAAUAACUCCUACAAGGAAGGGUUUUUAUGUAACGCCCUUACCUGGAGCCAAAAAUCCUGAGUUUUGACUGAACCUCAAUCUGACCCUCAAUGAUUAACUUGUCUACAAUGCAUUGGUGACCUCAUAGGGGACAGAGAGAACAUGAUUACAUUACAACCAGAAUAAGUGUUUUGUUUUUUUUCAGUCUUUUUGUGGAUAUAAUGGACGUAAUAGACAAGAUCCUCACCAGCACACAAAUAGUGUUACUUCUUCCAAAGACUGUAAUUUAAAACCUCCCUUCCUCAGUGUAGUCUGCUGGCAUUAUGGUAAAAAAGCAGUUCUGGUACAUAGUUCUGAUAAUCUGGCUAGAUCUAAGAAUAACAUUAGAACCUUUAGAGUAAUAUUAUUUCUCUCAAAUGGACCCACAGAAGAUGCAACCCUGUAAUUUUUGGCAAGAAUAAUCUAUGGUGACAAUUGAGAGGAGAAGAAUAAGAUCUGACAGUCAGUUGGGGAGGGACAUGGAUAAGGAAAAUUAAUGAGACUACCCCAAAAACAAGCCAGAAUAGAUUAGCACUCCACAUCAAAGGAAUAGCUAUAGGAAGGCCCAACAUUUCUAUGAAAAGAUAGGCAUUAAGACUAUAGUUAUGUGCCAUAUUAUGUUAUCAUAACACAUUUUAGAUGUAAGAAAUUCAGAAUGAGUAUAAUUACCAGCAACCACCAAAGGAAAAAGAUCAAAUCAGUGAUACUUACACAUGUGUCAAAUUUUAAUCUAUUUAGAUAUUUGUGAGGCCUCUAUGAUUAACUAAUUGGAAAUCAUGCCUUUUGGUAAUUGAAUGAUUUGACCCCAUAUAAAAUUUUUGACUAAAAGCCAAUUAAAUGCCACACCGUAUCUUUAAAGCUGAUAAUUUUGAUUUACUUACUUUGGUUUGGUAUACUUCAUCUUAAGCUAUUCUUUCUCGUAAUAAUUAGAUAGAAGAACCUGUUUUGUCCAGUAAGGCUACUUCUAGAGCCUAGCAACAGAAACAUGUCAUCGGCAUGGGGAGGAAUCCUAGUCAUUUUGCUUCUCAAUAGCAGGAAGCUCAUCCAAAAAUUACAUAAAAUUAUUAGGAUGAGAGUUGAGGGAAGGGAAACCAAACUGAAGGAUUAAAUUUGUGUCUCUUUUUCUUUGUUUCAAUAUUUAGGAGGCUUUUAAUUAAGUUCUAGUAGCAUAAUAAUGGCUAAACAUUUUUUGAAUUCUUACUAUGUGCUAAACACUGCUCUGAAUAAUCUAUAGGUAUACAUUUAUUUAAUCUUCACAAUAAUCCUAUGAGGCAGGUCCCAUUGUAAUCUCUAUUUCACCAAUAUGGAACCCGAAGCUUAAAAGUGAUAACUUGCCUAAUGGCAUCUAUCAAAUAAAUGGGAGAGUCAAGAUUUGAACAUAGGCCCACUCUACUGCAUCUUGGUUUAACUCAAGUGCCCUGAUGAAGUAGCCUUCAGACAGCCUAAUAUCAAACCUGUUGUUUACCAAAAAUAAAUACUUAUCCAGAAAAUACUUAUUAAUUUUGAUGUUUCAGUAGAUUAUAAAGGGAAAUAAUUACAACAUGAUAUGGAUUUUGAAACAUCUGGAAGAGAGUGAAGGAUCAAAUAGAAGAGUGUAUAUGGCUGGGGUUGGAGGUGGUGGUGUUUGGCGAUGGAGGUGAAACAGAUAUACAAAAGAAUAUAAAGAAAGAAACUGCCUCCUUCUCAUCAGUUAGGAUUACACACAAAGCAUAUUAUCUUCAGAGGAUAGCUCAAAGAAAAGGGAAGAGGAUGCAAGUUAAGGGGUCAGGGUGAAUUAUGCCCUAUUUGUUCUAAGUCUUGACGAUUGGCAUGGUGCCUUUUCUCCCCAGAUUAGGAACCCAUUGAAACAUUUACAGUGACAUUGCUUUGAUAUCUACGGAUCAACUCGUGGCCUCCUGGCAUUUGAUAUUGGAUAGCUGUCUAUUAGGAGAAUAGUUAUGAGUGGCUAUUACAGAUACCAUAUGAUAAAGUAGAUAAGACAACAUCUUUGGACCAAGUUUGCCCUGGUUCAAAAUAAAGAAAUUGUUUUGUGGACUGUUGGAGACAUUAUUAGAUUUAUUGCAAAGAGUUUAAGUUUUGACCGUUCCACUGAUUAUAUAUUUGAUUUUCUGAAAGAUCCCCAAACAUUUCUCUAGCUUUCUUUCCAUAAUAUUUUUAAAAAUUAUAAUGAAUGAUUAGUUUUCAUUAUGGGUCCAUAGUUUUAGUGUGAGCAUGGCAAAUCAGUGAAAUUAUCAUUUGCCUCCAUUUAUUGUGUUAAAAAGGUUGGUCAUAAUCUUUUUUCUCUCAUACAAGAGUGCUAUAAUCAUUCAUACGAUGACUGCACAUUUCAAGUUCACAAACAUCCACUACCAUGUUAUCUGCCUUACAUAUACUAACAGUUUAUAGGGCAUCAAAAAGAAGAAAAAAUAAAUACCGUACAACAAAGUUCUGGUUCAUUAAACAUGUCAUAUCACUUUAAAAUCUAAUAGUACCUUACGUUAUAGUAUGUUUAAACAAAAUGUAUAUGUAGUUAAAACCAGCGAGUCCAAAAUUACCUUAUUCAAAGGACAGUAGAUUUUAGCACUGUUGCUGUAAUAAUUUGAAGGCCCAAGGACCUAUUAUUGGUACCUUAAACUAAGCCUAGUUUGACUUCAAGGAACAGAAACCUUUUAGUCCUGCACCACGUAAAAAGGAGAGUCUAUGGUGAGGCAAGCUUCCAAACACAGGAAUUAAAGUCUAGUUGGCUCUUCUGUCAACUGGAGCUAAGUGGAUGUCAGAAACAGAAUCAGUUCUGGGUCUCCCAAGGGUCACAAACGUCUACUCUACCCUUCAGGAUUUGCAUGCUUUAUUUCAGCUCUAGUUAUCUUGAUAUUGUCUGUCUAAUCUCACAGUAGAUUGGCUUCCAUUGCUUACACGUGGUCCAACAAGGUGAACCUAAGUUUAUUUGAUCUUGUAGGUUCCAAUAUUCGCAUUUGCCAGCUACAGCCUUGAUUCUCAACUGAGGAAGCUUGUCUGCUCCAGAUGGAGCAUGCAUAUCGGAAUCUUUAGAUAGGGAGAGGAGGUGCAUGAGCAGUUUAAAUAUCCAUCUUUCUUAUUUUAACAUAAACUUUAUAUUUGGAAAAGUUAAUACAUAACCAGUGUUUCAUUACGCAAAUUAUGGAAACCAAAGCUCCACAGAAUUUUCCUGGUGAAUGAGAAAAAAAUGUUAAAAUGUAGAGGCACACUUUACUGAAGUCUGUUUCUGUGUCUUUUAGUUCAAACUCAAGAGAGAGUGAGAGCUGGCCUGAUGGAUUCUAGCUAGCCAAUGACUUUACUAGUGUUGGGGCAGGUUUACCGUCUCUGGUCUAGGCCAUUGUGCCUGGGAAGAAGGAUCAUGUGGAACAAACCUGAGCUAUCCCUUAAAAGGGAGUUAUGGGUGAGGUAGUUCUCAGACAAGAGCAUCGUGGGUGGUUCCUUUUCCCCCAAAAUCUGUUAACUAUGCAGCUGCGAUGAUCAAGCUUCAUGAAAAGACAAGUCUUGGAUUCAAAUUUAGAGAAAGGGAUAUAGUUUAAAUAAAUAAAAAAUUCUGGAUAGAGGAGAUAUUUCAAAAGUGAAAGUAUCCAAAAUGAAGCGUAUGCAAUAUAUUUUGAGGAUAAUGGUUGUGUUAAUGGGUUUAUAGCAGAUUAGCUCUUGACAUAGGGUUCAAAGCAAUUUUGCAACGAAACUCACAGAUGCGAUUGCUCUCAGGACCACCCUCUCUUCUGUUGGGAAAGGAUUCUUGGUUGAAAGCUACCAAGCUUGCAAAACAUAUUUGCCAUGAGGGAGGAGUUGCUAGAGCCUGCUAGAGAGCAAGAAGCUGCUGGUUUCCCCUGCUCUCAGCAGAUUUUCUUCCAAACAUGGUUUUCCAACUUGAACCAGACAACAGAUUUACACCUGUCUUGAAAAGGUUGGGAUUCGUGUCUUUAAAGUUUCCAAAAAAUGUGCAGAGGUCAUUCCUUCCUUAUUUCCUUAUUGCCUUAAAGAGGGCAAAUGGAACUAAAAACAACAGGGGUGUGUGUGUUUGGAGGAGGGAAGGACAGAGUAUGGGAGGAAGGAGGGAGGUCAUUGACAGUAAUAAUUCUUUAUGAUUUUACCUCCCAGGGCCAUUCUAGGUGGCCUCUUCCUAACAUAUCUUAAACACAGGGUCAGGAAAGAUGGCACAAGGGGCUCCCAGAUUCCAGGGAGAUAGGGAGGAAAUUAUUAAUUUCAGUAAAGUGGGAUGCUUUAGAAAACCACUGAGCUCUUAUUGUGCGGCAAAAAAAUGCUCUGUGGAAUUUUCCUUUUUUUUUUUUUUUUUAAGGCUGACAUCCUCAUGUGAUGUUUACAUGCACAACUUCUAUAGGUAACCCAGAUAGGCUUAUGUGCAGCCUUUUUAUGGUUCUCGUUCAUUCUCCUUUAAUGGAGAAAGGGACGGUCUUUAUCCCUUAUGAAUUUGAGACAAGGCUGGAGUUUUCUCAGUCUAGGCCUGCUGAGACAGCUCCCGGUACGCCUAUUUUGUCUUCUCUCUCUGUCCUGUCUUCCUGGCCCCGUUGUCAGUUUAUUUUGCCUUCAGGCUGAACAGGGCCUCUCCCUUCCUGUUAGUGCUUUGUCACUGCUCCGUCAGCAAGUUAUCGGCUCUUCUUUCUCUGCAGCAGUUUCUCCUCCUGCCUCGCUUUCAAGUACACAUCCAAGGUUGCUCAGCAGUGUCCCAUGUGCCCUCUGGAAUCAUCUGUUCCUUAUUCUAGUGGCUUGAGGAAGAGGUUUUUUUAACUUUCCUUUAGGUUGUGGGGAACGGGGCUUUCUGUGAGGGAGGAGAGCUGAUUCCCAGGGUUCACACAGGCCAGAAGUUACCGGCUUCGUGAAAGCUGGUACUUUGUUUUAAGAACUGGCAGGAGUCUGUUAUCUUUGGGUACCCCAGAGGGUAAUCACUCACAGGGAGUCUGAUCCUGUGCUGUCUGAGAGAGGACACUACAGAGCCUUUGUCGCCUUGCUGCCUGCCUACCAACAGCCUCCACACCAACACAGCCUGCACCUCCUGCCUGGAACUUCCCAGCAUUCCCCAGUUCACCCUCCCUGGGGCUGAGCAGAACCUUCACACCAGGAGCUCUGAGGGGUGGAAGGGUAAGGGGGCUUGCAGUUUGAAGUAAAUUUAUCAGCUUUCUCAAAGCACAAUAGUAUUAUGAGUUCAUCUCAGUUUAUUUUCUGUCUCUAUGUUCAAGAAAGGCUCACUGUAUAUGAUUUUUAAAACGUUUUUUCCUUCCUCUCUUGUGAAAUACAAUAUGCAUUUAGAAAAAGUACAUGAAACAUAUGGGUUCAGGUUAAUGAAAUAUCAUAAAGCAAAUAGCUACAUACCUACCCCUUUAUUUUUUAAACUGCGACUUUUUUCAGGCCAAAACCAAAUUCUUUAAAACUUGGGCCUUUUGACUUAUGGAAAGUAAUUAGGAAUAUAUAAUUGAAGACUGAUUUGGUUAAUAUCUCAACGGUGCAAUUGUUAUUUUAUGUUCGUGUAUUUUGCUGUCACUUGACUCAAUUAGUUGCCUUCAGAUGAACCACUUCAUGGUUAUCUGAGAUGAAAUUUUUAUUCCAGGUUAACUUUCCUUAUUAAACUGCUGUAUUUCAGGACUUCCUCCUUCUUUUGCAAGGUUUAACCCAAGAAAAGCAAAUUGACCUGCAUCCUAGGGUAGGCAAAACACAAUUCUUUGUACUUACAAGGUAAAACAACAUCAAAAUGUCCUAGUGAGUGUAGAUAUCCCAUAUGAAUUACUUUUGGAGCAUUCAAAGUUUAAGAUCAUUUUUCUCAUUUCCACGAACUCUGUAGAGCUGACUGAAGUGAAAUCUUUUCACACUGAUAAAUAUUUAAUGUGUGCCUUCCACGGACUAGGCAUUGUUCUGGGUGCUUGAGCUACAUGAGUAAAGAAACAAAGAUCCUUACUCUUACGGAGCUUACAUUAAAGCAGCCAAGAAAGAGUCUAUAACAAUAAAUAUAUUAUAUAAAUAACUUAGUAUGAUACAAAGUGAUGAGUGCUAUUGAGAAAAAAACACACCCACAC